UACCUGGUUGAUCCUGCCAGUAAUCAUAUGCUUGUCUCAAAGAUUAAGCCAUGCAUGUCUAAGUACAUGCCGAAAUAAGGCGAAACCGCGAAUGGCUCAUUAAAUCAGUUAUGGUUCCUUAGAUCGUUUCUUCCUACUUGGAUAACUGUGGCAAUUCUAGAGCUAAUACAUGCAGUGAGCCUGGAGCCCUUUGGGUAACGGGUGCUUUUAUUAGACCAAGAUCGAUCGGGUUUCGGCCCGUAUUGUGUGGUGACUCUGGAUAACUUUGUGCUGAUCGCAUGGCCACGAGCCGGCGACGUUUCUUUCAAGUGUCUGCCUUAUCAACUUUCGAUGGUAGGUUACUUGCUUACCAUGGUUGUUACGGGUAACGGAGAAUCAGGGUUCGAUUCCGGAGAGGGAGCCUGAGAAACGGCUACCACAUCCAAGGAAGGCAGCAGGCGCGCAAAUUACCCACUCCCGGCACGGGGAGGUAGUGACGAAAAAUAACAAUACGGGACUCUUUUGAGGCCCCGUAAUUGAAAUGAGUACACUCUAAAUCCUUUAACGAGGAUCAAUUGGAGGGCAAGUCUGGUGCCAGCAGCCGCGGUAAUUCCAGCUCCAAUAGCGUAUACUAAAGCUGCUGCGGUUAAAAAGCUCGUAGUUGGAUCUCAGUUCCAGACGAGUAGUGCAUCUACCCGAUGCGACGGCUCGGACUGAACAUCAUGCCGGUUCUUUCUUGGUGCACUUCAUUGUGUGCCUCGAGAUGGCCGGUGCUUUUACUUUGAAAAAAUUAGAGUGCUCAACGCAGGCGAGUCGCCUGAAUAAACUUGCAUGGAAUAAUAGAACAAGACCUCGUUUCUGUUCUGUUGGUUUUUGGAAUACGAGGUAAUGAUUAAGAGGGACGGCCGGGGGCAUUCGUAUUGCGGCGCUAGAGGUGAAAUUCUUGGACCGUCGCAAGACGAACUACUGCGAAAGCAUUUGCCAAGAAUGUUUUCAUUGAUCAAGAACGAAAGUCAGAGGUUCGAAGGCGAUCAGAUACCGCCCUAGUUCUGACCAUAAACGAUGCCAACCAGCGAUCCGCCUGAGUUACUCAAAUGACUCGGCGGGCAGCUUCCGGGAAACCAAAGUAUUUGGGUUCCGGGGGAAGUAUGGUUGCAAAGCUGAAACUUAAAGGAAUUGACGGAAGGGCACCACCAGGAGUGGAGCCUGCGGCUUAAUUUGACUCAACACGGGAAAACUUACCCGGCCCGGACACUGGGAGGAUUGACAGAUUGAGAGCUCUUUCUUGAUUCGGUGGAUGGUGGUGCAUGGCCGUUCUUAGUUGGUGGAGCGAUUUGUCUGGUUAAUUCCGAUAACGAACGAGACUCUAGCCUAUUAAAUAGGUGCGGGGUUCCCAGCACCUUACAACCUUCUUAGAGGGACAAGCGGCUCCUAGCCGCACGAAACAGAGCAAUAACAGGUCUGUGAUGCCCUUAGAUGUCCGGGGCCGCACGCGCGCUACACUGAAGGAAGCAGCGUGUCUUUAUCCCUGUCUGAAAAGACUGGGUAACCCGUGGAACUUCUUUCGUGAUUGGGAUAGGGGCUUGCAAUUGUUCCCCUUGAACGAGGAAUUCCCAGUAAGCGCGAGUCAUAAGCUCGCGUUGAUUACGUCCCUGCCCUUUGUACACACCGCCCGUCGCUACUACCGAUUGAAUGAUUUAGUGAGGUCUUCGGACCGAUGUCCGGCGCGGCCUUUCGGUUGCGCCGGUCUGUUGGAAAGAUGACCAAACUUGAUCAUUUAGAGGAAGUAAAAGUCGUAACAAGGUUUCCGUAGGUGAACCUGCGGAAGGAUCAUUA
rnacentral:rRNA from 1 species